rnacentral:rRNA from 1 species
GAUUAACGCUGGCGGCGUGCAUAACACAUGCAAGUCGAACGAUGAAACUUAAAUGAUUUCUUCGGAAUGAACUUAAGUGGAUUAGUGGCGGACGGGUGAGUAACGCGUGAGUAACCUGCCUUACACAAGGGGAUAGCCGUUGGAAACGACGAAUAAUACCCUAUGAAACUAUCACUUCGCAUGAAGCGAUAGUCAAAGUGUUAGCGGUGUAAGAUGGACUUGCGUCUGAUUAGCUAGUUGGUGAGAAAAAAGCCCACCAAGGCAACGAUCAGUAGCCGGCUUGAGAGAGUGUACGGCCACAUUGGGACUGAGACACGGCCCAGACUCCUACGAGAGGCAGCAGUGGGGAAUUUUGCACAAUGGGGGAAACCCUGAUGCAGCGACGCCGCGUGAUUUAGAAGGCCUUCGGGUUGUAAAAAUCUUUUGUAUAGGAAGAAAAUGACAGUACUAUACGAAUAAGGUCCGGCUAAUUACGUG